AGAAAGAACCAACUGGGAUUGCCCUAGUAACGGCGAGUGAAGCGGCAACAGCUCAAAUUUGAAAUCUGGCCUCCUCUGGGGGUCCGAGUUGUAAUUUGCAGAGGGUGCUUUGGCGUUGGUGGCGGUCUAAGUUCCUUGGAACAGGACAUCGCAGAGGGUGAGAAUCCCGUUUGUGGUCGCCUGCCUUCGCCGUGUAAAGCCCCUUCGACGAGUCGAGUUGUUUGGGAAUGCAGCUCUAAAUGGGAGGUAAAUUUCUUCUAAAGCUAAAUACUGGCCAGAGACCGAUAGCGCACAAGUAGAGUGAUCGAAAGAUGAAAAGCACUUUGGAAAGAGAGUCAAACAGCACGUGAAAUUGUUGAAAGGGAAGCGCUUGCAGCCAGACUUGCCCGCAGUUGCUCACCCAGGCUUUUGCCCGGGGCACUCUUCUGCGGGCAGGCCAGCAUCAGUUUGGGCGGUCGGAUAAAGGCCUCUGUCACGUAUCUUCCUUCGGGAUGACCUUAUAGGGGAGGCGACAUGCGACCAGCCCGGACUGAGGUCCGCGCUUCUGCUAGGAUGCUGGCGUAAUGGCUGUAAGCGGCCCGUCUUGAAACACGGACCAAGGAGUCUAACAUCUAUGCGAGUGUUUGGGUGUCAAGCCCGAGCGCGUAAUGAAAGUGAACGGAGGUGGGAACCCUUGGGUGCACCAUCGACCGAUCCUGAUGUCUUCGGAUGGAUUUGAGUAAGAGCAUAGCUGUUGGGACCCGAAAGAUGGUGAACUAUGCUUGAAUAGGGUGAAGCCAGAGGAAACUCUGGUGGAGGCUCGCAGCGGUUCUGACGUGCAAAUCGAUCGUCAAAUUUGGGCAUAGGGGCGAAAGACUAAU
rnacentral:rRNA from 1 species